rnacentral:sRNA from 1 species
GAGAAGUAUUCAAAGCCCGAUGCAAGAAUACAGGCCGAAUGGUUGCUCUAAAGAAGAUUUUAAUGGAAAAUGAGAAGGAAGGAUUCCCAAUUACAGCACUACGUGAAGUUAAAAUGCUCGAACAGCUUAAACAUCCAAAUAUCACUGAUCUUAUCGAAGUUUGCAGUGCGAAAAGUGCGUUUUUCGCACGAAAAACGGCAGAAAACCGACCCAAAAAUGUGAAAAAUCAAAAAAUUCACGAAAUCUCACGAUUUUGGCCGGAAAAAACGCCCAAAAAACUGGAAUUUCAUGGAUUUUUGCCUGAAAAAUGCAAAUUUUUAGCCCCAAAAAAUGGGCUGAAAAUCGAUUUUUCGGCAGUUUUCCGACGGAAAAAUGCUCAUUUUGAGUGAUUUUUCAUUGAAAUUCACUGAAUUUCUCCUGAAAAUCCGGUUUUUCAAGCGAUUUUAAGGCAUUUUCCACUGAAAUUUCAUUAAAAACCAGGGGUUUCCACCUAUUUUUACUCAUUUUAGACCAAUUUUAGGGUAAUUUUCACUACAAUUUCCGAAAUUUUCACCGAAAAAUCGAUAUUUUCAGGUGAAAACCACCUUUUUGAACACUAUUUUCUACUGAAAAUCUCUGUUUUUUCACUAAAAAAUCCAUAUUUUCUCGAUUUUCGCCCGAAAAAACUGAUUUUUCACCCAAUUUUACUCAUUUUAGACUUAUUUUAGGGUGAUUUUCACUGAAAUUUCCCAAUUUUUCCCCAAAAAUCCAAAAAAUUCAGGUACUGGAACGACGGGAUCCAAGGAUCGUGCAACUUUCUACUUGGUAAUGGCUCUUUGUGCACACGAUUUGGCUGGUCUCUUAUCAAAUCCGAAAAUUCGAAUGUCUCUUGUUCAUAUUAAAACAAUGAUGAAACAUUUGAUGUCUGGAUUGAAUAAGCUUCAUCGUAGUAAAAUUCUUCAUCGUGAUAUGAAAGCUGCAAAUGUUCUCAUUUCGAAGGAUGGAAUACUCAAACUUGCCGAUUUUGGACUAGCUCGGCCUUUUGUGCAGAGAGAAAGUGUGUGGUUUUCGGCGAAAAAUUGAAAAAAUCGACCUGAAAAUCGUGAAAAAAUUGAAUAUUUUUACCUAAAAACCAUGAAAAAUUCCAUUUUUUCAACUAAAAUUCUUUAAAUUAUAGCUCAAGCUGACUUUUCCUCGUCGGAAAAUUGUGCGAAAAAUGGUUUUCCUAGCGUUUUCGGCACAAUUUUCAAAUAAAAACGGCUCCUAGAACACGGAAAUUUCGUGGUUUUAGAGAGAAAAUCGGCGGCAAAUUUGUACCGAAAAUUGAUGAAUUUUCGUGAAAAGUCAAAUUUUGACGUAAAAAAAACGACAUUUUUUCCCGAUUCAAACCCAGAUUUCCGCCCGAAAUUUUUUGAAACUUGCAGAAAAAUUGUGAAAAAUCAUGAAUUUCGCCGCUUUUUUUCGUUAAAAAUGCAGAAAAUGGCAAAUUUUGGUGGCCAAAGUUCAUGAAAAAUGACAUUUUUCCACUCGAAAACCGUGGAAAAAUCGCCGAAAAUCGGAAAAUUAUUGAUUUUUUUUAAUCGAAAGUUAUGCAAUUUUGGUCAAAAAACGCUCAAAUUUGUGGAAUUUGUGCAACCAAAAAAUUGCGUUUUUUGAAUUAAAAAUUGAGAAUUUUCCCCAAAAAUCACGAAAAAAUCAAAUUUGCGAAAAAUUGAGACCCUUUUUAACCGCAAAAAAAAUCCAAAAGUUGAUAAAAAUGUGAAAAUUUCAAUUUUCUAGCAAAAAUUAGCCCAUUUUUGCCCAAAAAAGAAUUUUUUUUUUCGCGGAAAAAUACUCAAAAGUGCCAAAAAAUGAAAUUUCUGUUGAAACCCAAAAAAAUGGCUCAAAAAUGCUCAAAAACCUCGGAUUUCAGUCGAAAAAUUACGUUUUUAGAUGAAAAAUUGACCAAUUUUGAGCCCCAAAAACUCAACAAUUUUCAGACGGUGCAGGCCCCCGUCCACUGUACACAAACCGUGUCGUCACUCUAUGGUAUCGUCCACCGGAGCUUCUGCUCGGUGAUCGUCAAUAUGGCACAAAAAUCGAUGUAUGGGGUGCUGGAUGUAUUAUGGCUGAAAUGUGGACUCGCCAACCGAUUAUGCAAGGAGAUACGGAACAAAAACAGUUACAGCUCAUUUCUGGACUCUGUGGAUCGAUUAAUAAAGAU